rnacentral:rRNA from 1 species
AUUGAACGCUGGCGGCAUGCCUUACACAUGCAAGUCGAACGGCAGCACGGGAGCAAUCCUGGUGGCGAGUGGCGAACGGGUGAGUAAUAUAUCGGAACGUGCCCAGUCGUGGGGGAUAACGUAGCGAAAGCUACGCUAAUCCCGCAUACGAUCUAUGGAUGAAAGCGGGGGAUCGCAAGACCUCGCGCGAUUGGAGCGGCCGAUAUCAGAUUAGGUAGUUGGUGAGGUAAAGGCUCACCAAGCCGACGAUCUAUAGCUGGUCUGAGAGGACGACCAGCCACACUGGGACUGAGACACGGCCCAGACUCCUACGGGAGGCAGCAGUGGGGAAUUUUGGACAAUGGGCGCAAGCCUGAUCCAGCAAUGCCGCGUGCAGGAUGAAGGCCUUCGGGUUGUAAACUGCUUUUGUACGGAACGAAACGGCGAGCUCUAAUACAGUUUGCUAAUGACGGUACCGUAAGAAUAAGCACCGGCUAACUACGUGCCAGCCGCCGCCGUAAGAC